rnacentral:rRNA from 11 species
AUAUAAGGUAAAGUACCUUAAAAGCACCAGAUUCUGCAUGAUCAUGGAAGCCAGAUAGGAUCAGCCCUUGUUAGUACUGGGAUGGGAGACCACCAAUGAAUACCAGGUACUGUAGGCA